UACGUAGGGAGCAAGCGUUGUCCGGAAUCAUUGGGCGUAAAGCGUGCGCAGGCGGUUUUGUAAGUCUGAUGUGAAAUCCCCGGGCUCAACCUGGGAAUUGCAUUGGAGACUGCAAGGCUAGAAUCUGGCAGAGGGGGGUAGAAUUCCACGUGUAGCAGUGAAAUGCGUAGAGAUGUGGAGGAACACCGAUGGCGAAGGCAGCCCCCUGGGUCAAGAUUGACGCUCAUGCACGAAAGCGUGGGGAGCAAACAGG
rnacentral:rRNA from 1 species